UACAGAGGGGGCAAGCGUUGUUCGGAAUUACUGGGCGUAAAGGGCGCGUAGGCGGCCUUCUAAGUCGAACGUGAAAUCCCUGGGCUCAACCCAGGAACUGCGUCCGAUACUGGAAGGCUUGAAUCCGGGAGAGGUGAGUGGAACUGCGAGUGUAGAGGUGAAAUUCGUAGAUAUUCGCAAGAACACCAGUGGCGAAGGCGGCUCACUGGCUCGAUACUGACGCUGAGGUGCGAAAGCGUGGGGAGCGAACAGG
rnacentral:rRNA from 1 species